rnacentral:rRNA from 1 species
GUUGUAGGACACUCUAUACGGAGUUACAAAGGACGACAUUAGACGAAUCAUCUGGAAAGAUGAAUCAAAGAAGGUAAUAAUCCUGUAGUCGAAAAUGUUGUCUCUCUUGAGUGGAUCCUGAGUACGACGGAGCACGUGAAAUUCCGUCGGAAUCUGGGAGGACCAUCUCCUAAGGCUAAAUACUCUCUAGUGACCGAUAGUGAACCAGUACCGUGAGGGAAAGGUGAAAAGCACCCCGGAAGGGGAGUGAAAUAGAACCUGAAACCGUGUGCUUACAAGUAGUCAGAGCCCGUUAAUGGGUGAUGGCGUGCCUUUUGUAGAAUGAACCGGCGAGUUACGAUUUGAUGCAAGGUUAAGCAGUAAAUGUGGAGCCGUAGCGAAAGCGAGUCUGAAUAGGGCGUUUAGUAUUUGGUCGUAGACCCGAAACCAGGUGAUCUACCCUUGGUCAGGUUGAAGUUCAGGUAACACUGAAUGGAGGACCGAACCGACUUACGUUGAAAAGUGAGCGGAUGAACUGAGGGUAGCGGAGAAAUUCCAAUCGAACCUGGAGAUAGCUGGUUCUCUCCGAAAUAGCUUUAGGGCUAGCCUCAAGUGAUGAUUAUUGGAGGUAGAGCACUGUUUGGACGAGGGGCCCCUCUCGGGUUACCGAAUUCAGACAAACUCCGAAUGCCAAUUAAUUUAACUUGGGAGUCAGAACAUGGGUGAUAAGGUCCGUGUUCGAAAGGGAAACAGCCCAGACCACCAGCUAAGGUCCCAAAAUAUAUGUUAAGUGGAAAAGGAUGUGGCGUUGCCCAGACAACUAGGAUGUUGGCUUAGAAGCAGCCAUCAUUUAAAGAGUGCGUAAUAGCUCACUAGUCGAGUGACACUGCGCCGAAAAUGUACCGGGGCUAAACAUAUUACCGA